rnacentral:rRNA from 1 species
GAUGAACGCUAGCUACAGGCUUAACACAUGCAAGUCGAGGGGCAGCAUGAUUGAAGCUUGCUUCAAUUGAUGGCGACCGGCGCACGGGUGAGUAACACGUAUCCAACCUUCCGUACACUCAGGGAUAGCCUUUCGAAAGAAAGAUUAAUACCUGAUGGUAUGAUGAGAUCGCAUGGUAUCAUCAUUAAAGAUUUAUCGGUGUACGAUGGGGAUGCGUUCCAUUAGGUAGUAGGCGGGGUAACGGCCCACCUAGCCUACGAUGGAUAGGGGUUCUGAGAGGAAGGUCCCCCANAUUGGAACUGAGACACGGUCCAAACUCCUACGGGAGCAGCAGUGAGGAAUAUUGGUCAAUGGACGAGAGUCUGAACCAGCCAAGUAGCGUGAAGGAUGAAGGUCCUACGGAUUGUAAACUUCUUUAUAAGGGAAUAAAACCUCCACGUGUGGGAGCUUGUAUGUACCUUAUGAAUAAGCAUCGGCUAACUCCGU